UGAAGAACCAAAUUAUUACCAGUAGUACCCUCCACAUGUGCCACCACCACCUCCAAACUUACCCCUUUCUUCUCUCUCUUUCUCAGAUCGUUCUAGUCCUUCCUUGGUGAGCAAAACCCUAGAUGGCCUAAAAGCAAUUGGACCAAUUUCACUGCCCAGUCCUCACCACCCUCACUGAUUCCUCUGGUGCGAACCCUUCUGAAUUUUUUCUCUCCAACCCAAACCAGUCUAAUUAUUAUCUUUCUUAAUUUCAAAUCACCACUUCACCAUAGUCAUGGACGCUCAGAGAGCUCUGCUAGACGAACUUAUGGGCGCAGCUCGUAACUUGACGGAGGAAGAGAGAAAGGGGUACAAGGAAAUUACUUGGGAUGAUAAGGAGGUCUGUGGAGCCUAUAUGGUUCGAUUUUGUCCUCACGAUCUGUUCAUCAAUACCCGAAGUGAUCUAGGACCCUGCCCUAAAAUUCAUGACCCAAAGUUGAAAGAAAGUUUUGAGGAGUCCCCAAGGCAUGAUGCAUAUGUGCCCAAGUUUGAAGCUGAACUGGCUCAGUUUUGUGAGAAAUUGGUGAUGGAUUUAGAUAGAAGAGUAAAGCGUGGGCGAGAACGCCUUGCUCAGGAGGUUGAACCUGCACCGGCACCGCCACUGUCAGCAGAAAAGUCUGAACAGUUAUCUGUUCUGGAGGAAAAGAUAAAGAACUUGCUGGAACAAGUUGAGACCCUUGGUGAAGCUGGAAAGGUGGAUGAAGCUGAAGCACUCAUGAGAAAGGUGGAUAUGCUUAAUUCUGAGAAGACAGCCUUGGCUCAACACCCUCAGAAUGAUAAAGUGUUGAUGCUUGCACAGGAGAAAAAAAUGGCACUCUGCGAGAUAUGUGGUUCAUUUCUUGUGGCCAAUGAUGCUUUAGAGAGGACUCAGUCUCAUGUUACAGGGAAGCAGCAUAUUGGUUAUGGCAUGGUCCGAGAUUUUAUCGCUGAGUACAAGGAAACUAAGGAGAAGGCAAGAGAAGAAGAAAGGUUAGCAAGGGAGAAAGAAGCAGAAGAACGGAGGAAACAGAGGGAGAAGGAAAAUGAGAGUAGAAGGAGAAGUAAUUCAAGUGAUAGGGACAGGUAUCGUGAUAGGGAUCGUGACAGGGAGCGGGACAGAUAUCGAGAACGCGAUUCAGAUCGUGAAAGGUCUAGAGAGUGGAAUGGCAGAGGUAGUCGGGAUGGAGGGAGAGGGGCGGAUUGGAGGUCCAGGAAUGGAAGAGAUGGGGGCAGGGAUAGGUACCGUGAUCGAAGCAGGUCACGUUCCCCUGUUAGGCAUAGUCACAGGAGGUCACCUAGAAGUCCAGUUCGCCCAUAUUAAUGAAUUGUGUAGAUAGAUGUCUGAGCUUUGAAAUUUUUUGAGCUUUGUUGAGACUAUACCAUCUCCCUUUCAUCGAUAUUAUAAGCGGAGAAAAGGGUUGAGAGUCUCACAUCCCCUUCUGUUGGGAAGUCAUUGUUGGCUACUUUCUGUGUUGUCACAUAUUUAAGACAUCAGACCCGAAAAUGAAUGCAUGAUUGAUCCACCGCAGCUGGAAGAUGAUGGUUUUUAAUCAUUUUUGAGGUAACAUAUUUAUCAUCUAUAUAUCAUCGCCAACCGAUACAAUAUUUCCUUCCUUUCUUUCCUCCGUCUUCUAUCUGGUUUUCAGUUUUAACCACUCUAUUGAAGUGGUGCUUGUUUGCUAUGUGUUUAACUGGGGAGGGAGAAGAUACCAAUCAUGAGAUGUGGAUAAUGUGCUACAUGUUGCUCUCAAGGUAUUUUUUAGGGGACUCUCCGUACUUACUAGAAAAUGGUCUGGUUUUUCACCCUUGUAAUGGUUUCUAAUUUUCAAAAGGCUCAUUAGUUUUCCCUCUUUUCACCCCUCCCCUUUUAGCUUAGCAUAUCAAAAUUUAAUCUUAGAACUGGUGCAAGCAUUACU